rnacentral:rRNA from 2 species
UGGGGAAUAUUGCGCAAUGGGGGAAACCCUGACGCAGCAACGCCGCGUGAAGGAUGAAGGUUUUCGGAUUGUAAACCCCUUUCAGCAGGGAAGAAGCGAAAGUGACGGUACCUGCAGAAGAAGCGCCGGCUAACUACGUGCCAGCAGCCGCGGUAAUACGUAGGGCGCAAGCGUUGUCCGGAAUUAUUGGGCGUAAAGAGCUCGUAGGCGGUUUGUCGCGUCUGCUGUGAAAACCCGAGGCUCAACCUCGGGCUUGCAGUGGGUACGGGCAGACUAGAGUGCGGUAGGGGAGACUGGAAUUCCUGGUGUAGCGGUGGAAUGCGCAGAUAUCAGGAGGAACACCGAUGGCGAAGGCAGGUCUCUGGGCCGCAACUGACGCUGAGGAGCGAAAGCAUGGGGAGCGAACAGG